UACGUAGGGUGCAAGCGUUGUCCGGAAUUAUUGGGCGUAAAGAGCUCGUAGGCGGUCUGUCGCGUCUGCUGUGAAAAUCCAGGGCUCAACCCUGGACCUGCAGUGGGUACGGGCAGACUAGAGUGCGGUAGGGGAGAUCGGAAUUCCUGGUGUAGCGGUGAAAUGCGCAGAUAUCAGGAAGAACACCCGUGGCGAAAGCGGCUCUCUGGAACGGUACUGACGCUGAGACGCGAAAGCGUGGGGAGCGAACAGG
rnacentral:rRNA from 1 species